rnacentral:tRNA from 1 species
AGAGGGUUAGUCCAAAAUAAGACCUCUGAUUUCGGCUCAGAAAAUUAUGGUUUAAACCCAUAACCCCCUU